AUUGCUUCUUGGCCUUUUGGCUAAGAUCAAGCGUAGAAAUAGAAAAAUCUGUAUUUGUGGAUGAGGGAGGAAAAAUUUGGGGUCAAAAAAAAAAAGAUUAAAUGUAUUUUUUUUCUUUUUUGCAGUGCUAAGGAACUGAACCCAGGGCCUUAUACAUACGAGACAAGUGCUUUACCACUGAGCUACACGCCCAACACAGAUUUAAGGUACUUUUA
ensembl:snRNA U2 U2 spliceosomal RNA